CCUCCCAUCUCUCCUGACUCCUGCAGCUCUCCUGGCGUCUCCCCCAAAGAGCAGCUCUCUUCCCUGCUUGACUUCUGGACAUGUCAGGAGCUAAGGGAAUUAAGAGGAAGGCCAUGUCGCAGGAUAUGGCUUUGCGUGGGUGGGCUAAAGUGGCUUUCUGGCUUGACCUCAGUUAGGCCAUCCUGUGCUUGCUGCACUCGCCUGGGGCAGGUGUAUACGGAUGUGGCGCUGGGGCAGGUAGGGUGGCCAGGGGGGCAGGUGUACCUUGAUGCAUGGAGUCAACCUCAGGUGUGACCUCCAGCCCACAGCAGCAGCGGCGGAGAACUCACGUUCUUCUCAGAGAAAGGAAAGAGGGGCAGAGCUGAAUCAAGCCUGCCCAGUUGUGCUUCCGAGAAGCACCUGUGCCCAGGCAGUGAGUGAAACUCCUAGAAGGAAGCAUCAGGGGAGGGGGGCAGCAUUCUCUGUCUUAGGAGAACAGACUCGUAAAGUGUGAGAGGUAGUUGCCUUGCCGUCUUGCUCAGAUGUCUUCAAGUCCUCACGUUUGCAUCCCCAACUUUAUUCUGCAGAAGAAAGCAGCCAAUGGCCCUGGGCUUCUUUUGCAGAUAUCUCAACCCCAUCUUUAAUGGCCAGUUCAUCACACUAAGGGGAAGGAGAUGUUUGAUUUUGUCUGAAUGCAAAAAGUUCAGUAGAUCCUAGAGGAAGCCUCCAGAGACUUGUUACAGAGCAAAGAAGAGGUUCUAAGGUGGAUGGGAAUCUUCACCCCCACAGAGAAGGAUGUGUGUCCAUGAGGAAAGGUGCCUUAAAAAUACUGGCCGAAUCAAAGCAAACAAGUGAACUUGAAAAUGGACCACAAAGAAAGAUGAACACAUUGCCCUGGAUGAACACAUCCUUCGGACCUGCUCACUCCACUGGGAUGGUUUGAAGGCAGAUUUGGCCUCCCUACUGGCCUGUGGGCUCUUGGAAGGGAGGGCAUUUGUCUUGUUCGCAGGUGAGCAAUUUGGAGCCUUGCUUGGGAUCAGGCGUGGAUGAACUUCCCAGUAACUCUGAGGCCAAAGGGAAAUUUCGUGUUUCAGCACCAGAUCAAGUUCAGUCUGCAACCUGAGAAGACAUGCAGGCGUCAUCCUCUCUCCCUGUGUUUUGGUGAAACAUGCUAAUAAUAUUGCUCCUAUGUUUGGACAAUGUCCCAAGUCACCAGUACGGCAAAGACACUGCCAUCUGAGAAUAGACCAAAGGGAUAAUGGAAGUUAAGAGCGAACAGGUGAUGUCAAGAACAGAAUUGCUGAACAGAACAGAGUGAAACCAUUAAACACCGUUAGGAUCCCAAGCCAGGCAGUCACCCUGACACGUGGACGAGAUCCCUGAUGUGCUGCCUGCAGCCAGCCAUCUGUGCCCUCGGUCAGGCUCACUCCCUCAAGCCCGGAACCUGAAGGAAUGACAUACAGAGACACCUGGGAUGUCCUGAAAAGAUCAUUUAGUUUGCAGUCCGAGCACUGCAGAACCAAACUUUCACCCUCCUAGUCAUGCAAACUUGAACCCUUGCCAAACCAAAUUUCCAAUGAGAGGCAUUCGAGCCCUCAGACCAGCCCUGGCAACCUGGAUGACUCAUAGCCCAUUCACUGGGGAGCAGGCAAUUCAUGAGCUACCCUUGCUGUGCUCAUUGCAUCUCAGGUUUGGGCACAGGGACCUGCUGUCACCGCCCUGGGCAAGGAGAACACCUUUUCAUGCUUUUCUCUCCCAUCACAGUGUCCUCUGCCAGGAGGGUCUGGUCCUGCAUCUGAGCUGCUUUCCCAGGCGUUGCAGCUGUCACCUUGUGUCCUUACUUCCUUGACACGCUUCCGCUCGGCUUCCUGGAGACCCCGCAGCUGCUGGAUGGAAGCAGGAGGCACAGGAAAUGACUGAGAAUGUCUCUCACCCAAGUCCCAGUGGGACACCUCGUGGAAAACUUUUGUGGGUAUCAAACAGCUUCCUUUUUUGAAGGAGAAAGCCGCCUGCCCCGUGCCCUCCAGUGCCUGCCAAGGCCAGACUCCUGUCCAUCCACGUCCCAGGUAAGAGAUCUGAAGGAGGUGUCAUUGCCAGCAGGGACAAGUGACACCAGUGCAUUUCUGUAGCUGGCAAAGUACAGGGGGACAAAGCCAAAGAGUUUAAUUGGAAUGGUCCUUAAUUAAAAAAAAAAAAUUAAAACGGAACAUAACACAACUGUCAUGUUUGCAAAAACUGGGUCUGAGGUCCCCGUGGGAAUAAUGAACAGAGGCAGGAAGGCAGGGAGGGGAGGCUGGGACAGCGUGUGGCGGCCUCACCAUUGCAGGUCUCCUCGGUCAUUUAUAAAAGGCAAGUGCUGCCUUGCCCCCCGGGGGGGCCUAAGCACCAAGCUUCAGUUGUGAUUUAUGGGAAAGAGACUGGCUAUAAAUCAAACCCCUUUGUUUUGAGGAGUAGUUUCAGUGCAAGCAGAUGCAUUUACAUGCAAAAGAGAAUGAGGGCAAAAUCACACUCUCUGGUAAUCUACGAAUAUCAAACUUAAACAAAAUUUCCCCUCUUUGACAAAGUGCCCUGCAUGGAGAACUUUGGGGCCAAGGAUCAGGUCACAGGGGGAUGGCUUGAUGAGCCCCAGGUAUGGGGCUUCAGCACUGGAAAACAGGGCAUCUGAUCUUUCUUUCUGGGGCUGUCCUGACACCCAGGGCUCUUAGAGCAUCCUCGUUAGGGACAGACCUUGGGCUGUCAUUACUGUCACCACCAUUGUGGCCCAUUGUCAUUGCUGCUCCGGGCACUCACUGCGUGUGGAAGCAGUGAAGGUCAAGGCUGUAGGCUGAUUCUCAUCAGCCCCAUGUAUUGGGGAUGAGAAAGAGAAUCUUCCUCAAGAAGACACAACUGGCUCUUGGCGUUUCGAGUAUACUUUUGCUCUAGUGCGUGGGGACCUUUGAUGCUGUCUCCUGUCUUCAUGGUUCAUAAGUAUCUCACACCUCGUUUCCGGCCAGAGGUGCUCCCUGAGGGCAGGGCUCAGGCUUUGAGUCUCUUGCAUUUCUCAAAAAUGCCUCGUGUUAGGAAAUCAGAGAUGCUGGGGGUGCUCCUAUUGGCUUGAGUCAAGUAUCUAUGGAAACGGGGGGAGAGCCAUCGCAUGACUCAUCCAAACCCUGGGGUUGUCAAAGCCCCAUUUCAGCUCCGAAAUCAAGCUUUCUUUUCUCCUCAAGCCUUUUAUAAAUAUCACUAGAGAAAAAAAAGGACAACUAUGAUAUCACCUCUUUUUGAUUCUCCUGUCCUCCUGCUGGUAUUGAGAUGAUCAAGAGCACAGAAAAGUGGCCAAAAACAGGCAGAAGGAAAGAGACGCAAAGGACUAGGGGACCCACAGAGGAGACGCUGGCGCUGCCCCGACUGGCGCCUUCCAAGCACCUGCCCUGUUUCUUCCGAAACUGUCACUAC